rnacentral:rRNA from 1 species
AGUGAACGCUGGCGGUAGGCCUAACACAUGCAAGUCGAACGGCAGCACAGGAGAGCUUGCUCUCUGGGUGGCGAGUGGCGGACGGGUGAGGAAUACAUCGGAAUCUACUCUGUCGUGGGGGAUAACGUAGGGAAACUUACGCUAAUACCGCAUACGACCUACGGGUGAAAGCAGGGGACCUUCGGUCCUUGCGCGAUUGAAUGAGCCGAUGUCGGAUUAGCUAGUUGUCGGGGUAAAGGCCCACCAAGGCGACGAUCCGUAGCUGGUCUGAGAGGAUGAUCAGCCACACUGGAACUGCGGCCCGGUCCAGACUCCUACGGGAGGCAGCAUUGUUCCAUAUUGGACAAUGGGCGCAAGCCUUCUCCCUCCAUACCGCGUGGGUGAAGAAGGCCUUCGGGUUGUCCCUCCCUUUUUUUGGGAGCGAAAUCCCUCUUUCUCCUCCCCGGUUGGGAUGACGGUACCCAAAGACUCCGCACCGGCUAACUUCGUGCCAGCCGCCGCCGUAA